GGGCCCGUAGCGCAGAAUGGAUAGCGCACCGGCCUUCUAAGUCGGUGGUCGUGGGUUCAAGUCCCACCGGGCCCGC
rnacentral:tRNA from 1 species